UCAGACGACACGGGACAGGGAGGCACGGAGCACGCAGCAGACGCCGGCUCGGCCGGGGGAGCGGAGACGGCUGGACACAGCCGGGGUGGGGCCCGGACGGGGGACCUGGGACGCCCCGGCGCAGGGGGCGGGGCCGGCUGGGAGCCAGGCGUCCGCUGCCCGCCUCCCCGCCGCCCGCGGUCCAGAGCCGGGGUUCUGGGCGCGGAGGGGUCUCCAGGCUGACCCUCCCCUAUCUGAGGACUCUGCGCGGAGGUGCUGCUUAGGGAUGGGAAACGUUUACAGAGCAGAGCCGGCGCUUUUCCUCGGCCUGGAGUUUCCUGCUACUCCCGCCGCCGAUGCUCGCUAGCGCUCCCGCUUGGCAGCCCCGAAAGAAGCGAGGAAAGCGAUGGAGGGAGGGGACCCUGAGGACAGCGCGGGGUGACAAGGAAGACGCGCGAGGCGCCGAGCGAGCCGCUGGAGAGGCAGCCGCCACCCAGGAGGUCAAAGGACUUACUUCACUGUUCAGAAAGCAGUAGAGGACCGCCACCACCAGGCCCUGCAAGCAAGCGAGAAGGGCGGUGGGUCAGAGCUCACUCACACCCUCCCCUCCCCGGGAUGCCCAGCCCCUUCCCACGCACCUGGAAGGAUCCGAUGCACAGUUCGAAGAGUAUCUGGUACUUGGAGGAGAUGCCGAUGGGAAACACGGCGAACAGCAUGUAGUGGACUCCAAAGAGAGGGAUGAGCAGCAGGGUGGACUUGGUGAGCCUCCUGCACCACAGGGGGGGGGGGCCCGAGCUCCCGAGGUGACCCGACGGCCGCCUGCUGGCCAGCCCAGGGGCCCCCUAGCUUUGACACCACCCCACCCCGUAUGGACUGAGUGUGCAAACGCGAUGAUGGCCACCACUUUGCCUCAUAAAGCAGCAAAGCUCUUCCAAGAAAUCCUGACGAGUUUGCCAAGGAUGACAUUGCUCUGAGCGGGUCUGACGGCCCCGUGUGCCACUGGCUUUAAUAGCCGAGACCAUCCCCAGCCUUUGGAGGAUGGGGGCAAGUUUUACUUUCAGAUCAAAAGCAGGGGUGGCCCCCUGAGCACAAGCGUGACAGAAAGUGUUCCCGCAGACGUCUGUUUAUGGGUCCUGGCAGGCGACCCUGCUCUGGAUCGCACAGAGUCCGAGGAAUCAGGGAACCUGGACCAGAUCUAAUUUCUCUGCCUAUCGAAGAGCUCUUACCCUCCCUAAUCAAAGAGCAGAUUUUCUUCUCACUGCAUUUGUGUUGAAAAUAAAAUACCUGACCUCAAUCCUCCCCCACCCCACCCCCUUCGAAGCCCCUCCCGCUCCCCGAGCAGGUACAGGACACAUUAAGUCAGGGCUUCUCAGCCCUACCUGCACCAGAACCACCUGGAGGUCGUGUUAAAACGCAGACCUGAGAAUUCUUCUACCAGGUGCCCAGAGAUGCCGAGGCUGCUGUCGGGACCCCACUUUGAGGACCACUUCUAUAAGCCACUUCUGACAUGAGAAUCAUCUGGGGGAUUUUCAACCUCUUCAAGUCCAGGCUGCCCCUCAUCCAGUUAAAUCAGGUCUCUGCAGGUGGCCCAGCACCUUCCCAGGUGACUCAACCUGGCCACAUUUGGUGUAGCAAGCCCAGCACGUUCUAAGGGUCAGGAGCUUUGGGACCACCGCGGGGCUGGUCAGGAAUGCAGGGGCCUGGGCCCCCAGGUGGUACGUGUGCAUGUCCAGGCCCCUGGGUGACCCCAGAACCGGCAGCCGCUCCAACAACCCGCCUCAUCCUGGCAACUCUGAGCGGUGGGAACCGAGGCGGGAGGCACCUCCGUGCUCCUCCGCAUCUCCUCUGCUUGGUGGACCCCAGCCCACACUCAGAAAACAACCCGCCUCAUCCUGGCAACUCUGAGCGGUGGGAACCGAGGCGGGAGGCACCUCCGCGCUCCUCCGCGUCUCCUCUGCUUGGUGGACCCCAGCCCACACUCGGAAAAAAGUCACCCUUUGCUUUACAUAUUUUUGAGGCACUGUGGCACUUACAACAAGAUCUCCUCUGUACUGGGCGAUCUGCACAAACUCUGAAUCCCAGACGCUCUGCACCAGAUGUGAGCAUGCCCUGGGCCUUGGUGGGCAGGGAAGGCCUCACUGGCCACCCAGCUGCCGGACGUGCAGCUCUGAACCUUUGACUUUGCAAUACCCACGGUGCACUUGCUACCUUCACUACCUCGGUCUCUGCCGCCCAGCGAGUGAAGGCUGGGAUUCUGCAGGGAGCUGCCCUUUAUUUAAAUGUUAGCGAGAACCUGCCUGGAUUCUCACUAUUGAUCCAUCUGGAAUUUGCUGUUGUGCUAGUUUCUAGAAAAGGGAUUUAGAAGCUGGACCCCUGGGGCCCUGUGCCUGGACAUCUGCCACUACUGUUACGAGACAGAUACACAGAAAAGAUGUGCUCUGCCUUUUUGUUAUCCUGGAAAAAGAACAGAUUCUAUCAUGCCCACUUUAUUUUGUUUCCAAAGUAAAAGCAUCCAUCUCUAAGAUCCGCUUAGGAACGCUCCCAAAGAGCCCAGAGGAAAGGUCAGCGUGGCCCUGAACAAGAUGUGCAGAAACUGGAAGUUCAGUUGGAAGGGCAGCCUGAGCUGCAGGCAUGGGGCGAGUCCAGGAACCAGCCCGGCUUCUCACCUGAGCAGUAAAGAUGCUACUUGGAAGGUUCGGCUGAAACCACUUUAUCCUUUGUGGUCUGACGUGGAAUCCUAUCUCUAGGCCUGACCUCUGAUGUGGGCUGGGCAGAGACUGUCACACCUCAGGGCACAGUUAUAUGUAUAUGUUUACCAAACUCUAUCGCAACACUUUGCUGGUGCCAGCCACUAAAUGUCUUUUGAAUAUUAACUCUAUCAGUCCUUAUAACCUUGUGACAAGUAUUAUUAUUAUUAUUUCCACUUCACAGGUGAGGAAACCGAGGCAGAGCAGUGCAGUUACCUCCCCCAGGCCUCCAGCUGGUACAUAACCCAGCACUGGGCUGCUGACCACAGGGGAUGCCACCUGUCUCCCCAGGUCCACCCUGCUGUCUAAAGGAGGGGAGGGAAGGAGACAGCUGAGGGGGGGCCCACCCUGCAGGGGCAGUCAGGUAACCCACCCAGGGUCACGCAGCUUCUGCAGCUGCAAUUCCAACCCCAAUCUGCCUGUAUCCAAGGCUCCUAUCAGCUCGACCAACCACUCCACACUAAACUGGCUUUAUUUUAUACUCGAGUUGUGGGCUUUAUCUUUUCUUUAUAAAUUCUUGAUAGAAAUUCAUAUGACCCUCAAGUUCCUUUACGGAGUUCUCAGACCCUUAUUAAUCAGCUGGAUGAUGGGGAGUGAUUUACUUAACUUCUCUUCCCCACGAGGGAGAUGAUGACAGCCAUGUUCAUGUUGUCAUCCAGGCAACAAACAUCACUUGAGUUAUUAUUAAGUACAGGGCGCGACAUGAGGUGUCCCCUGGACCCUGUGGUCUGAUGGGCAAGAAAGAACUAAAUAUAAAAUACAAACAACGUGUGGCCAAGGAGAGAAAAGUCAGAUUACAAAACAGGAGAGCGGGCAGAACACUUCAAUAAGCUGCUCUCUAGAGGACAUCCACGCUGGAAUGAAGGAGAGGAACACGGCUUGAAAAAUUGCCAUGGCAACGCUGGCCUUUGGACAAGACAGUCCAUCUCCGGGGGUCCCUGUAAAGUGGCCAAGAGCACACUCCUGCGACUAAAGGAGAAAAGCUGGGGUCAUCUGCAGGGUCUCGCACCCCAGUUUUGCUGCUCUCCACACAUAUACUCAGAGUUUCCAGGCUGCCUGAGGUUGGUGAGGGUGGCUCAGAGCUGGAGCUAAACAAAUACUCACUUGUACUGUGACUGGUCAUUGCCGCCGACAUCUGGGGAUGUCAACUUCUGCAGUAAAAUUCGUAUAAUACUAACAAAAAGGAUGAAAUUGACCUGCACGAAAAAGAGACGACACGUUUGUGUGUGAAGUCCCCCUGCAAGGGAGGUGGUGUGGCCGGGACGUGUGUGCCUCUGCUGUUUCAGAAGCACCAGGGCCCUGCCCCUAGUUCUGCUCUUCCCUGCCCCACCCCCUGAGUCAGAGCCAGACAGUGUCUCUCUGCUGCAUCACAUACGUUCCGACCCCAGGGCACGGCAGCUGAGUUGAGAAAAUUAAUUUUGAGACGUGAAAUCCGCAGGUGGAAAUCCAGUUCUGCUCUAAGGCUGCACACCUGGGGGACCUGACUCUGACCCCCACCCCACCCCGAGGUUCCCCUGGAGGACUGUCUCUUUCUCGCCCUCCGCUUCACUGAGAAUUCGUCCUGAAGGUGGGCCAAGCCCACCAUGCAAGAGCUCAGCCUCAGGGUACUUGUCUCAGAAGACCUAGUAGAACGGGCCCUUUAUAGUUACUACCAGACAGUGGGCUCGCUCUCUGCCCAAGUGUGCAACCCGGCAGGCAACUCACGUUUCAAUACAGAAAUGACUUACUAUAAUAGAAAUUAAAAUUGGUGUUCGUAUAACCCACCAGGGAACACUGUGGUCAUUGGUAUCCCAGCAACUGUUGAAAAGAGAGAAGGAAAAUCACGUUACCACCAAUUCCAUCUACAAACCAAGCACAGGAGGAUAAGCACGCCGCAGACUCACCCUUUCCCCGGGGGCUUGAACACUUUCCCCGGGGGCUUGCGAAACAAAGCGCCCCGACCGUGAGCCCUCUCACUCACGCGGCUCCUUAGGGGGUCCCUCCUGACUGCCACGCGCUCUCUCCAGCAGGAAGCUGGGGUGGGCGGCUUGUAAAAUGCCUCCAGCUCACUCCGUCACCCACACCCCUUCCCAGCAGGGGCAGAGACCCACCCUCGUCCUGGGUCCUAGCUGGUUGACAGCAGGAUGUGGAGUCCUUGGAACCCAGCGUACGCUGCCUAGACCCACGGCCCUGGCUGCCCCUGCAGGUGCCUGUGGCGUGUGAGUGAGCCAGGCUGAGGCCAGGAGAACCGCCCCAAGUUCCAGGGACAGAAACACACCAAAUCAACUGGGACUAUGUGAGCUCCCAGCUUUGGGUGGUUUGUUACUGGUAGUGGACAACUGGUAGACCCUGGGUCCUGCAUGAGGCACAGCGCCGGUGGUGGGAGCUCUUGGUGCUUGGGUCUGGGCCACGGUCUGGCUCACUGUGCACACGAGGCAGAAGUGCUCUGGGCCCUGGUCCAACUGCGCUACCUCGGAGAGCUGCGCCCCAGCUGGCCUCUCAACCCGGCCUCCUCGCUGGGCUGGCCGCUCCGUCUCUGCCUGGUUGACCCCAACCUCAGCUCCGCUGCCAGGCCCAGCUCAGCCCCACCUGUCCCUGGGCUCUUCUCCAAGCACUCCAACCCGUAUUCCUCCCCGUGCAGUUCAACGUCCUCCCCAUCCGUGUCCAAAGGCUGCCUUUGACCAGAUACGAAGCUUCUCUCUGGUUUCCCAAGACCAGUGAUGCCAGGACCUCAGUGCUGCUUGACCUCUCUUUACAGGCAUGGCACUCACCCUGUGUCUUCUAGUGAAAGCCUGGCCGCAGCCCACGCACCUGUGCAGACGGUGGGGAUGCCUGCAGAAAGACACCUGGUGACCACAACCCCAUGCUGGUUACUUGCACCAGCCCAGCAGGGGCACACGUGGGAGCUUUCAUUAGCCUGAUGGUCAGGGACAAGGGCCUUCCGAUGAAAAGAUCAAGUGGAAGCUCUUCAUAAAUACAUACAGGCUUAUGCUCAUGCCUUACUAAGCAGUGAAGAUAACUGAGUAUGUGUCUGAAGGCUUCACAGUCCUGAAACACAUCUCUGUGUUUCUGGGUGUCGGUGUCAACGUGCUGGGGAGGCUGUGUUCAGACUUGGCAAAGACCUGCAGGGGAGUCCCUCGCUGUGAAGGUGGGGGUCCCGCAGCUGACGCACAGCCCUGCUGAUGGGCACGUUAGUGGGACCUCGUGAUGGAUGGCCUCCCUGCUUCUCCUCCUCCCAGGCCCCUUCCUUCUGACUUGCCCACCAUCAGGGUUUGCCCCAGCAAUGAGAGUCAGAGCAGUUUUAAAUCAGGUCCUGGCUCCCAGAAAUACUAAGCUGUUGGCUCUAGAAAAGCUCUUCCUACAGGGGCGGCACAGCAUUUUUCUGAGCUGAAAGCACCUGCAUUUAUAGGUCAGAGAGGACAGCAAUCAGGAACCUGGGGGGUUUGGGGGUGGCAGUGGGCUGUCGGGGGGAGUCCUUACCCCAUCCAAUCAGGAGAUAGGCCACAAAGCGCCGGCUAGGGGAGAAGAUGGCCACCAGGAGGGUGUGGAGGUACAGCCCCUCCACCAGGAGCCAGUAGAAGUUGGCCAUGAUGCAGUACUGGAAGAAGACCAGGCUCAGCUUGCAGCCCACCUGGAUGCCACAGACAGAGUGAGAGAGCACACUGCGUUUGGAUGAGGACUUUCGGGGCGGGCAGCCGGCUCCAGGUCCCAACGCGAGCCCGUGCUGCACGAGGCACGUGGCCACCCAACACAGAGGUGCCGCCUGGAGGUGUGUGCCUGUUCAGCCGCCUCCCCUAAUAUGUGUAUGUGGCUGAUGGGUGGAUGUACUUGCAUAUAUGUGGACACACUCGUACACGUGUAUGGGGUGGACAGAGCUGCAGACAAUGCACGGCAGCCUCUCAGCUGGCUCCCCGGGGUCAUGAGGCGCUUGGACUCACAGCGGCUCCAUCCUCUCCAGGACGCUCCAGCCCCUGACCUCGCACCAGGUCUCUCUUGCCUAAGUGGAGUGUGGUUCCGUCUCUUUCUAAGGCGGUUACGGUUUACUGAUGCUGAGGGCGGGGAGGGGGUCUGCAUGUGGAGGCGGCCCGCUGGACAUCGGGGCUGGGCCGCCGUAAGUGGAAAGACGCACGUGACAACACUGCUGUGGAGACAGGAGAAGCGACCCAAGACCUCGUUGGGACAGUGACAGAGGCGCGUGCUGGGUGUCGAGGAGGGAAGAGCUCCACACCCACGGGUGGAGGGAACCUGUGGUGAGCCCUGCUGGCCGGCGCAGAGGGCACGUCCUGCACACGCAGCAUCCGUAGCACCCGUGGCAUCUCUGCCUUUGGAAAGCUGUCUAGCACUAUCUGUCGCAAUGUAAACACAUGUGCCCUUUGGUCCCUCCAGUCUCUCUCCAGACCCACCUGACCGAGGUGAGAGCACUGGUGCACGAAGAUACACGUACACUGACGCUCGUGGGGACAGAAGACACAAAAACAGGGUGUCGCACAGGUUACGUCACACCUGCACGGGAGAUUCAAAGCAGACCCUGAGACACCGCUAGACUCAGAGGAUUUCCAGGAUAUCCUGUUGGAGGAUUUUCUCUAGACUGGAGCACGGUUUCCACAGGUUUAGAUCAAACCCAGACCAACAAGUGCAGAGAGCGAGGCGCCCACACAUGUGCGGGCUGGCCUAGGUGGGGACGGAGGCAGGGGUUCUGUCUCCUGGUCCACGUUUUGAUCCAAUAAAGACACUGGCUUCUUUGAGGCCCAACUCCUUGAAAAGGACGAGAAAACAGCACCUACCAUGAGGGUUGUCAAAGGCAAAAUCAGGCGUCACACCUGGAGACACGCGUCCCCUCAGGCUCUAUGGGGCCAGACGGCAUUUCCCUAGAGUGCUGGGAAGACUUACAGCAUCGGUAGGUGCUGGCUAAGAGCAAGUCAACAGGAUAUUUUGUUUAAACACGUGAAGAUGACAGCUGCAGGGCUGGGGAUAUGGGCCUUGGUGCCUCUGUGGGUCUCCUGCCUGGAGCCCUCAGUGCACAGUGAGCGGCAGAGGCGAUGGCGUGGUGAUGUCCACGUGUGCAGUUUCACUCGUCCUGUGUCCACGGCUGCUCCACACUCGAGGACAUGGGCUCCCCCAGCACCAUGCAAAGCCCCUUCCUUUGGAGCCGUCUUUCCAGGGACGGAGCCAAACUCGUGAUGGGACAGAGUCUGAAGGGUGUGUGUGUGCCUGGGUCUGUGCGCCUGUGUCUCUGUGUGAGCGUACGCAUGCCUGUGUGUUUCUGCGUGCCUGUGCACCUCUGUGUGCAUGUGUUCUGCGUGUGUGUGCACUUGUGCACCUGUGUGUGUUGAUGGGCUCUUCUCACUUCCCCUUCUCCUACCCCCUCUGCCAUUCUGGCCCGGGCUGUGGGCCUACGUGGCAGCUCAGUGGGCCCAGGACCCUCUGCAAUGUGCAGACCCCCAGCCCAGCCUCCAGCCCUUGUCUCUGGCUCUCCGCCUCCCCCCGACCCACCCGGGACAGCAAGCAGCUGGUCAGCAUUCAGCUUUGGGCCGGGUGCAUCCCUGUUCAGAUGCGUCAGCCUCACUGCAGAGCCCAGGGCCUCCUAGCUUACCCCUAGGCAGGUGGGACUCAGGGCAGGGACACCCAGGUCCCUGUUGCUGCCCGUCCCUCAGCCAGAUCCUCCGUCUACACAGCAGGAGAAAGUUGAGAGCACCGCUCCAGGGCCUGCUGUCUGUGGGCCCGUCAGGGUCACUACGUCCUUUAAUGAAGAGCUAAGUACGGAGCGCUGCUUCGAGCAGAGCUUUGAGACACAGAGACGGGACCGAAGGCUCCUCAGCGGGAGGACAGCCAGGCACCCCUGCUCCAGGCCUGCGGGUGCACCCCCAGCUGUGCAGCGGAGGCUCGAUCUAGGGACAAGAGCCCAGGGGCCGCACUUCCACCUGCGGCUGGGACUUGCCAGGUGGAGGAUCUUGUUGCUAAUUUCUUUAUUAUAUUCAGUCCACAUGCCUCCUGGUCAAGAUUAUCCCAGGAGUAUAUAGAUAUUUAUUGCACCUGCAGACCUAAGAAGCAGCUGAAGUUCUUCGGUGUGAUAAAGGCUUUACUAUGUUAAAACGACAUUGACUCAAAUCUGCUCAGUCCAGAGCAAGGGUGCCAGCACAUGAAUCCAUCCGCUUGGGAGGCGGGUGGAGAACAGCAUUCCGGCUAGUGUGGAAGAGCUGUGACCAGGACUAGGGUGCCGUGUAGAACCCAGGUGGAGGGUGCGACUGGGUGUCGGAAGACUGGGUAGAAGGACUUGAUCUCAGAGGAGCUCAAUAUAAACGCACUAAACUCAACUAUGCCUUAAAGGCCCACUGAUGUCCACCACAAGCCAAGCCUGCACUGCAGAAACUGACAGUUAAGGUGAUUCAUCCUCUUGCAAAGAGCUGGGCCCGCGGGUCACGGGCGGGCACUGCGCUCCCAGCAGGUGCUGCGGGGACGCACUCACCGCGCAGGUGAUUUCCACCCAGCAGUCAGGGGAAGCAUCUACUGCUCAGAAUCCCGGACAUGUGCGGAGAAAACGGCGUCGUGCGUGGCCACCCGUGCCAGGAACAUCCGGCUCGAGCUGCCGCUGGUGCUUCGGGGCAGCGGCCUCUUGGGAGGCCGGCUCUGCCUGGGGUCAGCACUCCGGCCGUGACCUCCCACCGGGCAGUGCCCACGUGCCCACCUUGUGUCUCUGGCCACCGUGGGCCUGCUCCGAGCUCAGGCCCGCUCCCGCGCCCUGACGGGGACCACCGGCUCUGGGACUUCUUCCCGAUGCCAAGUGGGGUUGGAGUAAAGGGAUGGGCGGUGGGGAGGGAGUUCUGUGGAGCUGGAGUUCACACAGGCACCUGCCCCCCAUGAGAGGACCCCGCCCACAGGGACAGCCUUACCCAGGAGGACGGCUGGUCGGGGCAGUGCAGAGUCCCUGAGCUGGAGUACAGAACGUCGUCCUUGACCAACACCGAGAUGGCCCGCAGGAUGAAGGAGAGGAACAGGUUCAGGUGGAUGUAGUUCCUGGUGCAAUGCAGCUUCC